rnacentral:tRNA from 1 species
AUAAAUGCUAAUAAAUGCUGUAAUUUACGGAUUGAAAAUCCUUGUGUCGCUGGUUCGAUUCCGGCUCGGGCCACCA